rnacentral:rRNA from 1 species
UGGGGCCUACGGGGCGCAGCAGUAGGGAAUUUUCGUCAAUGGGCGCAAGCCUGAACGAGCAAUGCCGCGUGAACGAGGAAGGUCUUCGGAUCGUAAAGUUCUGUUGAAGGGGAAAAAGAGCGGAGAGAGGAAAUGCUUUCUAAUUGAUAUUACCCUUCGAGGAAGUCACGGCUAACUACGUGCCAGCAGCCGCGGUAAUACGUAGGUGGCGAGCGUUAUCCGGAAUGAUUGGGCGUAAAGGGUGCGUAGGCGGCCUGCUAAGUCUGGAGUGAAAGGUACCGGCUCAACCGGUACAGGCUCCGGAA